GCCAGGAUAACAUUUUGAGAGAGGCAGGUUAAAGAAAGGUGUAAAUAACAAGAUUGUGGAUAAGAAGAAAGCAGUGAAGGAUGAAAAAUCUUUAUUGCUACAAAAUUAAUUGUGUGUUAAUGUAUGAGCAUCUCAACAGAUUCAAAACUUGACAUACGAAGAACUCCGCGAGGUGGCCGUCCCGGACAUGAACGAACACGUUGGUGGUGUGCAUGUGGGACGGCCGUGUGGAGCCUUGCGAGGCCAUGAUGACCCCAGUGAACUUCGAGAGGCAGCGCUGCUUCCAGUUCAACGCCAACCUGGACCGUCUGAGGACGUCGAGGAUCAGCGGGAAGCUCAGCGGGUUAGAGGUCAUCAUCAACGUUAAUCAGGACAAUUACAUCUUCAGCGAGGGACUCGGCGCCGGAGUGGAAGUAAUUCUGCACGAGCCGGGAACAUUCCCGGAUAUAAUUCGCAAAGGUUUCCUCGCGCCCCCAGGAUUUACCACAAUGAGUAGCGUCCGUCUAAGGGAGCACAAAUACCUGCCAGCCCCUUAUCGAGCCUUCACUGGCGAAACAUGCGUGGAAGACAUUCGCGAUGAGAACUGACGUCAGCACUCCGUGAACAUGGCCUGAGAUACACUCACUCCUUGUGUCGCCUCAUCUGCCUGCAAUUCCUCACAUUGAGGGAGUGUGGCUGCCGCUUCUCUAAAUAUUCUUUUGAUGAUUCACAGAAAACGGACCGGCGGUACUGUACCCUGCUGGAGAUAUUCGACUGUGUUGAAGCAUUCCAGUAUCGACUUGCCAGGGAGCUGAACGACAGCGUGUGCCAGUGCAACCGUCUGUGUCAGGGCAAGGAGUAUGACGUCACCACCUCCAUGGCCUACUUCCCAUCGGAGUCGGCCAUCCAUCUCUUACAACGCGUCCACACAACGGUGUCGCAAGCGGAUCUCAGGAAAAAUCUCGUCGAUCUGAAGUAUUCUUUGGAGAUCUUGUCUCUCAAGAGGUCAACCACGUCCCUCAACAUUCGCUGGAGUCGGUGCUCAGCUCUGUGGGAGGUCAGAUGGGACUGUUUAUGGGUGCCAGCCUGCUGUCAAUUAUGGAGAUUCUAGAACUUUGUGCUCGACUUUCCUGUCAAGGCGCACAAGUAGUGUAUAGGCUCAUACGCUCGAGGGGAGAGGCAGGGGCCUCGAAUUAAACUCAUUUCAAAAAGAUAUCUUUACAGAUGUAGACAUCUGUAUAUAGAGAAAAGAUGCCUCUAAUUUCAAAUGAAACUGGCUUCUAAGAAGUGUUAUUUGUAUUUGUCUCUCUAUGUCUCU